rfam:Ovis aries breed Texel chromosome 14, whole genome shotgun sequence.
UCCCUGGUGGUCCAGAGGCUAAGACCCCACACUUCCAAUGCAGGGGGCCCGGGUUCAAUCCCUGGUCAGGGAA